UGAGUUUCAUUUUUGCAGCUUGGAAACUGCCAAUGUGGUGGAUCUCUUAGAUUCUGCUGUUCUAUCUCGCCUAGUUGAUAUCAUGAGGACGUCAUCCGCAGAUUUGCAGAGGAAAUCUGCUUCAAUCCUUGAGUUCGCCGCAGUUAUUGAGCCAUGCACGGAAAAGAUCCUGUCUGUUGACCUAGAAAGUGGGCUGGAUGCUGUUUUCCAGCAGAAAACUUUAAAUGGUAUGAGAGAUUACUUUCCCGCAAUCCUCAUUAAGGCCCAGUCUGUCAGAAAGUGUGGCUUCACUUUUCCCUUUUUAGUAGGUUUCUUGAUCCCUCUUUGAAGUACGUAGUAGUCUGUAACUGCUGCUGUUCAACAUUACAUGGUAAUAUGGAAGUCUUAGGAAAUCUUCUGGAGAAUACUACCUUGAAGAAGGAAACCAUGGUUUCUGUUUGAUUUCAAGGAAUGUCAAUGUGCUUGUAAAUUUCAAAAGUAGUGCCUCCUACUACCAAAGUAGGAGAUUAGGAUGUUCUUUUCUGGCAUUUAAGCCACAAAUUAUGCCCCAAGAACUUACAAUCUAUGUUGCGCGGACUCUCCAAAAUGAUGCCGCACCUGUGUCGGAUCCCCCCAAAAAUACACUAUUUUUGGAGGAUCCGACACGCACCCGGCAAAAUUUUCGGAGAGUCCGAG
rnacentral:lncRNA from 1 species